UACAGAGGUCUCAAGCGUUGUUCGGAUUCAUUGGGCGUAAAGGGUGCGUAGGCGGCGUGGUAAGUCGGGUGUGAAGUUUCGGAGCUUAACUCCGAAACUGCAUUCGAUACUGCUGUGCUUGAGGACUGGAGAGGAGACUGGAAUUUACGGUGUAGCAGUGAAAUGCGUAGAGAUCGUAAGGAAGACCAGUGGCGAAGGCGGGUCUCUGGACAGUUCCUGACACUGAGGCACGAAGGCCAGGGGAGCAAACGGG
rnacentral:rRNA from 1 species